GAUGAACGCUGGCGGCGUGCCUAAUACAUGCAAGUCGAGCGAACGGACGAGAAGCUUGCUUCUCUGAUGUUAGCGGCGGACGGGUGAGUAACACGUGGAUAACCUACCUAUAAGACUGGGAUAACUUCGGGAAACCGUAGCUAAUACCGGAUAAUAUUUUGAACCGCAUGGUUCAAAAGUGAAAGACGGUCUUGCUGUCACUUAUAGAUGGAUCCGCGCUUCAUUAGCUAGUUGGUAAGGUAACGGCUUACCAAGGCAACGAUGCCUAGCCGACCUGAGAGGGGGAUCGGCCACCCUGGAACUGAGACACGCUCCAGACUCCUACGGGAGGCAGCAGUAGGGAAUCCUCCGCAAUGGGCGAAAGCCUGACGGAGCAACGCCGCGUGAGUGAUGAAGGUCUUCGGAUCGUAAAACUCUGUUAUUAGGGAAGAACAUAUGUGUAAGUAACUGUGCACAUCUUGACGGUACCUAAUCAGAAAGCCACGGCUAACUACGUG
rnacentral:rRNA from 1 species